rnacentral:rRNA from 1 species
AGCAGCCGCGGUAAUUCCAGCUCCAAUAGCGUAUAUUAAAGUUGUUGCAGUUAAAAAGCUCGUAGUUGAAUUUCAGGCCUGGCUGGACGGUCCGCCUUUUGGGUGAGCACUGUCUGUGGUCGGGUCCUACCUUCUGGCGAAGCGUCAUGGCCUUAACCGGCCGUGGCGGGGAACCAGGACUUUUACUGUGAAAAAAUUAGAGUGUUCAAAGCAGGCAGUCGCUUGGAUACAUUAGCAUGGAAUAAUGGAAUAGGACAAUGGUUCUAUUUGUUGGUUCUAGGACCGUUGUAAUGAUUAAUAGGGAUAGUUGGGGGCAUUAGUAUUCAAUUGUCAGAGGUGAAAUUCUUGGAUUUAUUGAAGACUAACUACUGCGAAAGCAUUUGCCAAGGAUGUUUUCAUUAAUCAAGACGAAAGUUAGGGGAUCGAAGACGAUCAGAUACCGCGUAGUCUUAACCAUAAACUAUGCCGACUGGAAUCGGGCGAUGUUGACAAAAUGACGCGCUCGGCACCGU